rnacentral:rRNA from 1 species
GUAACCGUAGAGAAACCUGCGGUUGGAUCACCUCCU